CCUGCAAGCAGCUAGUGGGCUCCACAAGAGUCCUUGGAUGGUGCCUGCAGAGACAAGAAACAACAUGGAUCAGGUGCUUGCUCCCUCAGCAGUUUUCUCCAUGGAGCUGCCAGAACAGCCUAAGCCUCAGCAGGAGCCAGGGGAAAGCUGACAUGGAAACUCGCCUGGGAACUCCUGUGGCCAGGGAUGGAUGGCUCCAGCUGAAGGCAGCUCUGCAUGACAGGGCUUCGUGCCACUUGUGUAAGUUUUAAUCAAUAUUGCACAUCCACCAUGAGGUUCUUUAAUCCACGCUGCCUUCGAAAGAGCUGGUUUGCAAGGGUGGGGAGCAUCUGCCACUCCUCUGCACUUAUGGGAGGCCGUGGGUGGAAAACAAGGUCCUUUUGAGGGACAGCUUGUGAUGGCACCACAAACUGUGGCGUGCAGGGCUUGCCUGGCUGAGCUGGAGGGGUAAAGGCUGCCAGCCUGGGCAUGGGGAAACCAAAACAGAGGGUGUUGCCUUGGCAAUGCUGGCUUGUCCACAUCCUGUGCGCUGCAGAGCGACCGCAGCGACUGGGGAUGGAGGUAGAGUUUGCAGAGAAGCUGCAGUUUACUGGAAACUGCUGUGCUGUGUCACUGUGGCAGAGGGGAGAGGUGGAGGUCAUUUUGCUAGUUAAGUUCUUUAGGCCCAACCCUCAACAGGCUCUUAUGUCUUCUUGAAGUUCCCUCCAACCUCACAAAGCUCAACCUGCUCCUCUCGGGUGAGAUGCCGCCUGACUCAGGCAGGAGUGAGGCUGCUCUAAGUGAGAGCAGUGGCAGCUCUGGGGGCACCUCUGGGGCGUGCCCCAAGUGUUUCUGGAUUAUUUCAACACUCCUGUGCUCUGUGGCCAGCUGCACCUCAGGACUUGUGGAGGUGACAUGAAAUCAACUGACCUACGGCCACCCCCGUUUCCCUCAUGCAGAUGAGACCACACUUGGUGCAGUUGAUGCUAAGGAGUGCAAAGCAGGAAUCACAUUAUUAAACAACCAUUUCCGUCUG